UACAGAGGUCCCAAGCGUUGUUCGGAUUCAUUGGGCGUAAAGGGUGCGUAGGUGGCGCGCUAAGUCAGGUGUGAAAUUUCGGAGCUUAACUCCGAAACUGCAUUUGAUACUGGCGUGCUUGAGGACUGGAGAGGAGACUGGAAUUUACGGUGUAGCAGUGAAAUUCGUAGAUAUUCGCAAGAACACCAGUGGCGAAGGCGGCUCACUGGCCCGAUACUGACGCUGAGGCACGAAAGCGUGGGGAGCAAACAGG
rnacentral:rRNA from 1 species